UAAGGACCUGGCCCACCAAGACCAGCUGCUACUAAUCUGGCUCAUCACUGUUGGCUUCAUAAGGAGGACCUGAAGAUCAGUUCUUCGCUGAUGCAUCGUUUACCUUUGAUGCCUUUUGAUCUCUACCUGGAUGAUCUUCCUCUUGUAAUCCUGAAGCCCCUGAAAGAGAGCCACUCACCUGUCCUCGUGCUGCGCUGCCUGUCUGCCUCUAACUGGAAACAACACCACUUACCUCAGAGAACCUCUUCUCACCUGGAAACCUUGGACCUACUCCUCAGUGCWGAGCCUUYACCUCCCUUCUGUAAGAACAAAAUUUAUUCCCCUGCAAAAUCCUCUUCAUUUAUUUAUCUGCUCCAUUACUCACCAAGACCC